rnacentral:lncRNA from 10 species
AGAAAGGAUUAUUUGAGGACACCAAGAGGUGACCAUCAGCAAGCCCAGGAGAGAGGCCUCAGAAGAAACCAGACCUGCUGAUUCCUUGAUCUUGAACUUCUAGCCUCCGGAACUAUCCAACUUGAAUGCUUCCUGAUUAAAUAUAUACAGGAGUGAUUUCAGAGGAAUUUAAGUUUUGGAUCAUUCUUUUGAGAAAGAAAGAAAAGUACCCUUUUAAAAGAGCGUACUUUCAACAUAAAGACGACGAGGAUAAAGGCAUUUAUGAUGAACUACUUCCACAUAAUGAAUAAUUGAACAAAGGAGAGAAUUGUGAGAGUGAGAAAAAGUGAGACAAAGAAGAAAAACUAUAAAUCAGCAAAAUACAGUGCCAAGAGCUCUGGACCACAAAUCAGAAGACCUGAGCCCUAAUUCCUUUCCAGUCAUUGGAUUUGUUCGUCGCUUGCCAAAAUAGCAGCGAACUCUCUGUCAAACUGCAACUCAUUUUAUCGGAGCAAAAACUGAACAAAGAACUGCUAUCAUUUCUGAGGUGUGAUUUCUUAAGCAUUUUGUCUUGUGAUUGAUUUUUUAAAUAUAGUAAUUUUAAAGACACGGUUGAAAGAAGCAGCUGAUCGCUAAUAUCUGAUGGCUAAUAUGCUAAAUUUCCCUGUCUGAUGUGAAAGAAUAAAGUAAAAGCAAAAUACAGGCAUUUUUCAUUCAGUGCAAGAAAAAAUACAAAGCGUGUUUCUAGAUCUAUCUAAGUCUAUUUUUAAAACUAAAAUGGGCUUUAAUGUUUCUUUAUUAUUUAUUUACU